rnacentral:rRNA from 1 species
UACGGAGGGUGCAAGCGUUGUCCGGAAUCAUUGGGUGUAAAGGAUGCGCAGGCGGAAGUCUAAGUCGGAGGUGAAAGUUUGCCGCUUAACGGUAAAAGCGCCUUCGAAACUGGAUUUCUUGAGUUCAGAAGAGGUCGGUGGAAUUCGUGGUGUAGCGGUGAAAUGCAUAGAUAUCACGAAGAACACCAGUGGCGAAGGCGGCCGACUGGUCCGAUACUGACGCUGAGGCACGAGAGCGUGGGGAGCGAACAGG